rnacentral:siRNA from 1 species
CUUGGUACUCGUGGUUCGGCGC